GUCAUGUGCAACGCACAUGACCCCUUUAACUGAAGAGCUGUUAACCCUAACAGCGUUAACCACAGUUUCUUCUCAAGACACACACCUCACGCCUCUCUCUCAUCUCCUCCACCUUUGUCUUGGUUUUCUCAGCAAACUCAGACCGGCAAACUCUUGUGAGGAGGAAUCGACGGCGGCCACGUGCAGCAGCCGCCGAUCUCACCGAACCAACUGGACAGCCCCUCUCUCUCUCUCGCUCGCUCCUCAAACCCGCGUCUCAACCUGAGGUUCUGAGGUUAUUCGGAAAUAAAGAAAUAUAAACUAUUGGAAGAGGAAGGAAUCGCGAUGGAAGCCGAGAUGAUGAAUUUGGAUUUAUCAAAGGAAGCCGAGUCACUGCCAUCUGAAUCUGAUUUACUGCCGGGGCCAUCAGAAAGGUACAAACUCUACAUUUUAUUCUUGCACGUAUAUAGCCCAGUCAUGUAUACCUUGUAUGAGGUUGACAUGCCUCUCCAUCCUCCACCAUUGAGUGCAGUACAAGACGAUAAAAUACGGAAUCCAAGGCCGCUUACCCGAAUCCUCCAACUUAAAACCGGCAAAUACGCUGAUGAAAUGUGUUGUGUUCAAUUGGGCUCCAUGUUGUAUUUUUUGGGUGGUGAAAAUUUGGAUAUCGAUGACCCAUACAUUGAUGAAGAUGUAAAGAAGGAGCUCGCUGUCCGGGAUUUUUUUCCGAAAGACGUCUAUUGUUUUGAGCUAGCCAAUGACCACAACUGCCGUGAACUGAAAGCCAGUACUGCGAUGAACUGUGGGAAGGCCAGCCCCCUGGCCUUUGUGGCCGAUGAGAAGAUUUACGUGAUUGGAUGCAGCCGCUGGGACUCAGAUGAAAACUUUGCUUACUUUGAGAUGUUUGAUCCUAAAGUUGAUAACUGGAUCAUCCUGCCAAAUCCUCCUCCCCAGAUAAGGAACGUGAACACUAUAUGGGUGGGGCAUGUUGUUGUGGGAAGAAAGGCUCUCUUUACAGCCUUGCUGCCGCACGAAACAGAGCGCCUAUAUUGUUUUGAUCUCGACACACAUAAAUGGGCAAACACAAGCAUCCCUGACUAUCUUGGUAAUUUCUCCGGCGACACUCAGUUUGUAGGGCGUAGGCUUUAUGGAUUUCAAUACGAAAAGGUAGCUGCAUUAGUCCCAUUAGAAGAAGAAGAAGAAAAGGAGGAGGAGGUGGAGGAGGAGGAGGAGGAGGAGGAAGAGGAAGCAGAAGAUAAGGAGCUUCAACAAUUGUUUAAGCAUCACCGCCUUCAUCAAGUCUCAGAGGAGAUGGGUAUGGAUGCUAUUUUUAAUGUUCCUCCGCAGGUGCAAUACUCAGCAAGCCUGCUUCACUUGGGAAAGAUGUACUUUUGUUAUGUAAGGACUGGCAUGCCUCCGCAUCCGGAUCCGAAUUUUGGCAAUGGUUUCGUUACAGGAAACGACAAAAAACGUUUCAUUAGCAUUGUAAUUUUUCAAGCCGUCAGGGAGACAUACGAAAAAAAUGGCACUAGAUUUUCCAAGGCAAAUUUCCUUCAUUCGGAGCACUAUGAAGUUAAUACCCCCUUCCCAAAUCGAGGUUUCAUCAAAGGCUGCUAUGUUCUUGGCUCGGGAUACCCAGAGUCGAGUAAACAGAUCAGCGUCUAAGGUGGGGUGGGGCUGCCGGCAAUCUUGGGCAGAAGAUGUCCAAGCGCAUUUCGAUUGCCUUGGUCACUCUCAAUCCUGAGGAGAACAAAAUCCUGGACAAAAUGCAUCGGCAGAAGGUUGCAGAGGUUGAAAAGCUAACCCAAACUGUUCGUGAGCUUGAGAAGGUUCUUUUGGCUGGUGCUGGUGCUGCUAAUGCUGUGUGUGAUUAUCAAAGAAAAGUGCAAGAGAUGAAUGUAAUGACUGUUACCUUUGGAAUUUUCAGUUCUACAAAACAACAACUGGUAGUCUGGUAGUCAUUUUGAAUGUGUUAGAAAUGCUCCAAAUUGCUUCUAACCUUCAAGCUUGAAUAGGAGGAGAGAAAACUUUAGAACGGGAAGUGGCUCGUGCAAAGUUUACUGCAAAUCAUGUUGCCACUGUAGUUGCAAAUGAGUGGAAAGAUGCCAAUGACAAAGUGAUGCCUGUUAAGCAAUGGCUUGAGGAAAGAAAAUUUUUUCAGG